rnacentral:rRNA from 1 species
UACGAAGGGGGCUAGCGUUGCUCGGAAUGACUGGGCGUAAAGGGCGCGUAGGCGGUUCAUACAGUCAGAUGUGAAAUUCCUGGGCUCAACCUGGGGGCUGCAUUUGAUACGUGUGGACUAGAGUGGGGAAGAGGGUCGUGGAAUUCCCAGUGUAGAGGUGAAAUUCGUAGAUAUUGGGAGGAACACCGGUGGCGAAGGCGGCGACCUGGUCCUUGACUGACGCUGAGGCGCGAAAGCGUGGGGAGCAAACAGG